CGGUCUUGCUGUCACUUAUAGAUGGAUCCGCGCUGCAUUAGCUAGUUGGUAAGGUAACGGCUUACCAAGGCAACGAUGCAUAGCCGACCUGAGAGGGUGAUCGGCCACACUGGAACUGAGACACGGUCCAGACUCCUACGGGAGGCAGCAGUAGGGAAUCUUCCGCAAUGGGCGAAAGCCUGACGGAGCAACGCCGCGUGAGUGAUGAAGGUCUUCGGAUCGUAAAACUCUGUUAUUAGGGAAGAACAUAUGUGUAAGUAACUGUGCACAUCUUGACGGUACCUAAUCAGAAAGCCACGGCUAACUACGUGCCAGCAGCCGCGGUAAUACGUAGGUGGCAAGCGUUAUCCGGAAUUAUUGGGCGUAAAGCGCGCGUAGGCGGUUUUUUAAGUCUGAUGUGAAAGCCCACGGCUCAACCGUGGAGGGUCAUUGGAAACUGGAAAACUUGAGUGCAGAAGAGGAAAGUGGAAUUCCAUGUGUAGCGGUGAAAUGCGCAGAGAUAUGGAGGAACACCAGUGGCGAAGGCGACUUUCUGGUCUGUAACUGACGCUGAUGUGCGAAAGCGUGGGGAUCAAACAGGAUUAGAUACCCUGGUAGUCCACGCCGUAAACGAUGAGUGCUAAGUGUUAGGGGGUUUCCGCCCCUUAGUGCUGCAGCUAACGCAUUAAGCACUCCGCCUGGGGAGUACGACCGCAAGGUUGAAACUCAAAGGAAUUGACGGGGACCCGCACAAGCGGUGGAGCAUGUGGUUUAAUUCGAAGCAACGCGAAGAACCUUACCAAAUCUUGACAUCCUUUGACAACUCUAGAGAUAGAGCCUUCCCCUUCGGGGGACAAAGUGACAGGUGGUGCAUGGUUGUCGUCAGCUCGUGUCGUGAGAUGUUGGGUUAAGUCCCGCAACGAGCGCAACCCUUAAGCUUAGUUGCCAUCAUUAAGUUGGGCACUCUAAGUUGACUGCCGGUGACAAACCGGAGGAAGGUGGGGAUGACGUCAAAUCAUCAUGCCCCUUAUGAUUUGGGCUACACACGUGCUACAAUGGACAAUACAAAGGGCAGCGAAACCGCGAGGUCAAGCAAAUCCCAUAAAGUUGUUCUCAGUUCGGAUUGUAGUCUGCAACUCGACUACAUGAAGCUGGAAUCGCUAGUAAUCGUAGAUCAGCAUGCUACGGUGAAUACGUUCCCGGGUCUUGUACACACCGCCCGUCACACCACGAGAGUUUGUAACACCCGAAGCCGGUGGAGUAACCUUUUAGGAGCUAGCCGUCGAAGGUGGGACAAAUGAUUGGGGUGAAGUCGUAACAAGGUAGCCGUAUCGGAAGGUGCGGCUGGAUCACCUCCUUUCUAAGGA
rnacentral:rRNA from 1 species